rnacentral:rRNA from 1 species
UACGUAGGGGGCUAGCGUUGUCCGGAAUCAUUGGGCGUAAAGCGCGUGUAGGCGGUCCGGUAAGUCCGCCGUGAAAGUCGAGGGCUCAACCCUCGAAUGCCGGUGGAUACUGUCGGGCUUGAGUACGGGAGAGGCGAGUGGAAUUCCUGGUGUAGCGGUGAAAUGCGCAGAUAUCAGGAGGAACACCGAUUGCGAAGGCAGCUCGCUGGAACGUUACUGACGCUGAGACGCGAAAGCGUGGGGAGCAAACAGG